ACUGCUUGCCUCCAAAUCCUUGUCUCAGGCCUGCAUGUGGAGAGAUAAAACCCAGACAAAGAGGCAGACAUGAGCAGAUGAGCUCCCCCGAACAGGAGACAAGUGGGCUGAGAGGUGAAGGAAGAGGAUGAGCUCCAGCAGCCUAAGGGCUAUCCUCUGAAGCAGAGUCACAGAGCCGAGUGUAGCAAGAAAAGGCUCGGUGAUGCCUGGGGAGGCGACGCCGGCAGUCAGAAGAAUCCAAAGGAGCCUUGACAGCGUCACUGCAGACAAACCUGUCUCCACUGACUGCCCUACUCAGACUCUGCCUGUCUGUGGUGGCCCACUCUCCUCGGGGUGGAUCGGCCUAAGAGUUUCAUUAAAAUCAAGGGGACGGGGAUUGUGGGUAGUGUUGGGACCCAGUAAAGCCCUGGGCUUAAUGGAUCAGAACCAAAACCCCAGCUCCACAUGGGCAGCCCUCAGUUUUCAUGGGUCAGCCCUUUCUGAGAAACCCAGCCAGGGAGGAGCACAGGACCAGCAGCAGGGGAUGCUUCUAAACCCAUAUCUCACUGGAUAAGCUCAUCACCUUCCAAGCCUCUGAAGAACAUUUACGUUCCUAUAAGUUUCUGAAGCCACGUUCAAAUCGUAGCUCUACCACCAAUGAGCUGCACGUUGGAGGGGAAGUGAAUUCACCCCAGACCUGAGUUCCACAUCCCUAGACUGGGUGAGAGGGCCUCUGCCCAGGCUCUCCAUGAGGAUGACCUGCACCGUGUGCCUUUAAUGCACUUAGAACAGCAGGUGCCUCAGUAAACGCUCACUGCCAUUCUGCGAUCAUUAUUGCAUUCACUUCCUGGGGCUGCUGCAACAAAGUACCACACCCUGGGGGCGAAAACAACAGACCCUGACCGUGCCGAUGCUGGAAGUCUGAGAUCAAGGUGUGGGCAGGGCUGGUUCCUUCCGAGGACUGUGAGGAAGACUGUUCCACGCCUCUCUGCAGCUCCGGGUGGUUUGCAGGCAACCUUUCCAUUGCUGGCUUUGCAGACACAUCACCCAGUCUCUGCCCUCAUGUUCACAUGGCUCUCUCCCUGUGUGUGUGUGUCUGCGUCCCAGCCUCCCCUGUUUAUAAGGACAUAGUGGCAUUACAUGACUACUAUUACUCUGAUAGGGCCUCAUCUUAACUAACUACAUCUGCAAAUAACCCAUUGCCACAUAAGGUAGCAUUCUGAAGUACUAGGGGCUAGGACAUCAACAUAGGAAUUUGGGGAGCACAUAAUUCAACCCAUGAUAAUGAUUAUCGUGAUUAUUAUUAAGAAUAUAUAACCACUGUAGGAUGAAAGCAAAUACUGUAAAAUCCUACUCAUAGGUUUGCAGGGAUUAAAUGGCAUCACUGGAAAAUUGUCUGACACAAAGAAGGGGUUCAACAAAUGUUGUUUUACUUCCUCACUGUCAGCCUAAAUAUAGAAAGUAUUUGCUCAUUGGCCCGACAGACAAGUUUUGACUUCUAGUUUUAUACCAGCUUUAUGUAUACAUGCUUAUAUGUCGUAUGUGACAUUUUGUACAUAUAAACAUUAGUUCUGCCUUCUAAUGCUAUUUUGAAAUCACCUUUCCCUUGUUAAAGUGUUCUUUUGAAAUUAUAUAAAAUAGCUGAAUAGUAUUUUAAAGCCAAAAUGCUACAAUUUACUUGCCAUGUUUUAUAAUUUGCUUACAUUCAGAUGGUGUACCAUCUUGUGUUCUGUUAUGAAAUAGCACAACCAUGCAUAAAUGACCCUGCCAUCCUACCCCUAGAACUUUAUUUACCAUGAAAUGCCUCCACGUACUUUCAUUUGCAUGUCUUGAGAACUGAACCGUAGACCCCUCUUCCCUGUCAGUGUUGACCAUCGAUAUUUCCUCCCACAUGUGGCUUCUGUUUCUGUCUCUGGGCAGAUUUAUUCUAACCUGCCCUCAAAUCUGUAAGAAGAUUGUUCAUUCCCUAGGGCUAGUCCAAGUCUCCUGGCCUGGUGCUUACUUCAAAUUCACCUAAAUCUGGCAUAAAAGCUUUCAGGACAAGGUGGAUCAAACUGCGCCCUUGUGUGAGUACUCCCUGGACAGAAUGUCUGGUUAUCUUCGGUGUAAGUUAUUUCCCAUGACUCACAAAUAGAAAUCAGGAGAGGAGGGAGGUAGGAGGUGCAAGCCUCUGCAGCUGUCUGGAGAGUCAGCAAAAGGGAGACAGAAUCUUUAGUUACUUCACAUGUGUGACAAUACGCCUAUGUUUUGUUUUAUGUUGUUUAUUUCUUAUGUAACAUUGUUGAGUUAUCAAAUGAAGUGGUGUAUAAAAAUGUCAAAUAAACAGGUUCUCUCCCUUU
rnacentral:lncRNA from 1 species